UACUACUAUAAGAAAAAAACUUCCACAGCAAACAUCACCACCCCUUUUUCUUCUAUUCCAACAGUUAAUAAUAGCCUCCUUUCCAACCCCUUUUUCUUUUACUUCUCACCAGCCCUGCAAACUACAAGAGCUUUAAGAGAUGUUGAAAAAGAUUAAUAAUAUAAAAUUAUUAGUUUAUUUGUUUGUUGUGAUCUUAGUGGCUGAUCAUAAUCACCAUGCUAAUGCAGAAAAAAACUCACAAGUUGUUAAUGUUAAGCCCUUAUUGUCCAGUAACCAUAAUUCCCACAAAUCUUCAUUAACAUUUUCUCAGUCUUUGCCAAAAGGAGUCCCUAUUCCACCUUCUGCUCCUUCCAAAAGGCACAAUCAAAUCAAUAUCUAAAUUAUAUUAAGGCCGUGAAGAAAUUAUUGAAGGGAAAUUCAAGAUUAUUUUGAAGGUUCUCUAACUGUACAUGGUUUACUAGUGAGUAUUAUACAUUUGCAUAUUAGAUACAAUUUUUUUUAAUAUAAUUUGUUCUCUUUUUUCCCUCCUAAUGCUUCAGAUCAUUAGCAUUUUGUGGACUUAUUAAUUACUUCUCUAAGUUUUGUAAAGAGAAGCUAUUUAAUUUAUAGAACCCCAUAGAUUUUCUUGAUUGGGGGUUAUAAUUCAUAUCUUGAUAAAUUCAUCUGUGUUAUGACUAUGAAAUGAUUAUCAAUAACAGCAGAAUUUACCCUACUUAAUUAAUACACAGCAGGAAUUAGAAUUUUAAGUUUAUGAAUUUUGAAUUUUCGAAGCAACUUCCUGUGUUCUAGAUAUAGAUAUACAGUUAAUUUCUUAAUAUCCAAAUACAAAGUUUAGGCCAAAAUUGUGAUUUGCUGAACCUGUUCCUAGAACUCUAACUCUGUGUCUAAUGUUAUGUAUGGUUGUUUAUUUAAAUCUUGCAUUAACUUUGUUCUUAUAUAAUCUAGUAGAUUUCUUGUUACUUGUUUUUUUUGGUUAUAUUUCUUUUCCUCCUUUUUUCUUUUAAAUAUUUCAACUUAGAACAUGAAAAUUUAGUAACAUAGAAGCAUCAGCACGAGGUCUGUAACAAACUUAGAUAAGAAGGAGAAGACCCAACCACUAUUUGAUUUCUUUAACAAAAA
rnacentral:lncRNA from 1 species